GCUUGGGUCCCUAUCCCAAGCUCACCUCUUCCCAUUCCGGACAGAGAAGUUAAGCCUUGUAGAGCUGAUGAUACUCUUCAUGGGGAAAGUAAGCAGUCGCCAACA
rnacentral:rRNA from 2 species